AGUGCGCGCCAGCUGGGAUCCGCUUCCUGUGAGUGCGCGCCAGCUGGGAUCCGCUUCCUGUGAGUGCGCGCCAGCUGGGAUCCGCUUCCUGUGUGUGCGCGCCGGCUGGGAUCCACUUCCUGUCCGACAGACGGACCCGGUCUCUCUGCUGAAGGAAAGAGCCUCGUUGAGAUUAUCUGCUUUCUCAAGGGAUACCUGGCCAAGAAAGCUACAACUAAGCCAGUUAUUUUAGGCCUGUCAUCGCCAUUGAUCUACCCCACCCUCCCUGUUACACACCGGGGAUUUGGGGAGUGAAGCUAAGCCCCGAGGGAGGAACUGAGGGGGUGCCUAUCUUCCCCCCCCCCCCCCCCGCCCCCAAGGAGCCACUGCUGCCGUUGCUCCCAUGGGGCCGCCUGCACACAUUCCAGGGUUAAUUGUGACAUCAUUAACUGUGACAUCAUUAGCCGGACGCUGUGGCUAAUGGUCCCGGAGAGAAUGCGCUCCACAGGACUCAGCCGUCAGCGCUCCGCGUUCCCGCGGCUCCGCGGUGAGCAGGCCGACGCGCGCGUGUCCGAUCUGCAGAGAGAUCUGAUUGGCCGCUGACCGGAGAGAGAGAGUGUCAGUUGUACCGGUGGCACGGCGGGGUUCCUGAGGAUCGAUCGCGCCCGGAGCGCCAGCCCGGAGCGCCAGCGGGCAAGCGGCCCGUUUCUGUGGCCUGAGCGCUGAUGUGAGCGGCUCACUUGUACCGCGAGAGAGGAACAGCCUUCAUACCACUCUGUGGCGG